rnacentral:misc_RNA from 1 species
GAUGAAGAACGUAGCGAAAUGCGAUAAGUAAUGUGAAUUGCAGAAUUCAGUGAAUCAUCGAAUCUUUGAACGCACCUUGCGCUCCUUGGUAUUCCAAAGAGCAUGCCUGUUUGAGUAUCAUUAAAUUAUCAACUGUACCAAUUUGGUUGCAGAUUGGAUGUGGGAGAUUUUGCAGGCUUUUGAUUUCUCUUUGAGAAAACGGUCAGCUCUCCUGAAAUAUAUUAGCAGUGCCUUUGUUGGUUCAUUAGGUGUGAUAAUUUAUCUACAUCUUCAAAUGGUACCUUCAUUUGUGUAAAGGUCAUAUUGCUUCUAAUUGUCUUUGGACAUAAAAAAAAAAAAACAUAUAAUUGUAUGGAAAACUUAAUCUCAAAUCAGGCAGGACUACCCGCUGAACUUAAGCAUAUCAAUAAGCGGAGGA